rnacentral:lncRNA from 1 species
AGGAAGCCUAAGGCAUGCCCGGGCUAGUGUAACUGAUCUCGCUACUCAAUCCAUAUCGUCAGUUAUAUGGUUGCUUCAUCCAAGAGAGGGUAAGAUGGCCGAGAGCGGACCUUUUUGGAUUUAUAAUCCAAGUCGAGAGUGGAGUUACAGGAACAGCCGUCUGAUGGAAAAAAACUUUAACGUUCGGUAGUUAUGCUUCGCAAUAGAUCGACCCAGUUCCCGUUCUUUUCCGGUGCACUCGCUUUAUAUCUCCGAUACACAAGGAAGGACGCGGUGGGA